rnacentral:rRNA from 1 species
AGCGAACGUUUGCGGCGGGCCUAACACAUGCAAGUCGAACGGGCUACUUCGGUAGUCAGUGGCGCACGGGUGCGUAACACGUGGGUAAUCAACCCUCUAGACUGGGAUAACCCGGGGAAACUCGAGCUAAUACCAGAUGUGUCGCCCUGAUCCUCGGAUCGGGUCGAGAAAAGGUCGCAAGGCCUGUUAGAGGACGAGCCCGCGGCCCAUCAGCUUGUUGGUGAGGUAAUGGCUCACCAAGGCUAAGACGGGUAGCUGGUCUGAGAGGAUGGCCAGCCACACUGGAACUGAGACACGGUCCAGACUCCUACGGGAGGCAGCAGUGGGGAAUAUUGCGCAAUGGGCGAAAGCCUGACGCAGCGACGCCGCGUGGGGGAUGAAGGUUUUCGGAUUGUAAACCCCUUUCAUGAGGAAAGAUAAAGUGGGUAACCACUUAGACGGUACCUCAAGAAGAAGCCACGGCUAACUUCGUG